rfam:Cricetulus griseus cell line CHO-K1, whole genome shotgun sequence.
UCAAAGGCUCUUUUCAGAGCCACUCACUCUCUCUCCAAAAGGACU